UACGAAGGGGGCUAGCGUUGCUCGGAAUGACUGGGCGUAAAGGGCGCGUAGGCGGUUUUGACAGUCAGACGUGAAAUUCCUGGGCUCAACCUGGGGGCUGCGUUUGAUACGUCGGGACUGGAGUGCGGAAGAGGGUCGUGGAAUUCCCAGUGUAGAGGUGAAAUUCGUAGAUAUUGGGAAGAACACCGGUGGCGAAGGCGGCGACCGGGUCCGUGAAUGACUUUGAGGCGCGAAAGCGUGGGGAGCAAACAGG
rnacentral:rRNA from 1 species